ACUUGAUCCUCUCUCCUCUCGUGAGAGACCUUCUCUGCUAGGGUUUUGCCCACCGUCUUCCUCCUCACUCGGCCACCUCUACAACCGGCGUGCCUCUGCUCCCGACGCGAGGAAACUCUGCUAUAGGUGCGAGGGAGACGGCUGGCGAGAUGUUUUUCGGGUUUGCUUCUAUGAGGCUCCGAUUAGGGUGAUGAACAGGUAACAUUAAAACAGAGAGUCGCUGGGCAUAUAUUGGCCGCCUCAUAAGUUUUUCAGAAACCCAGUGGGCAGUUAGGGCGUGUGAGAGAUUGUCGAGGUGAAAACAGAGAUAAUGGUCAAAGCCACUAUCCAACAAGUAUGAAGGGGGAGAAGAUGGAACAACUAGCCACGAUGGGAAUCCUACUUUCCCCAUGGAAGGAAGCUUGACAAUGUGAACCCAAUGUGAAGCCAGCUUUUGUCAAGCUUGGAGAGAGAAGAAGCGAAAGCGCCAAGGAACUCAACCAACCAAGGAUGUCUUUCUUUGGAGCCUCUCCCACAUUUUUAUUUGGUUCUUUUAUAGAAUUUUCUACAUGAUCUCUUGAUUUUGGUUCACAAUUUAACCCAUAACUUGUGCACAUAUUUCGAAUGGAGAACCCACCAUAUAUUAAGGGUCGUUUGAUGGCCUGGAAAAGAACUGUAGCUGAGGGAAAAAAAAAUCAAACUUUUAAAAUUUUUCUGUGCCAUCAAAGAUGAAAAAUUUUUUUACCGUUAAUCAGACCCGAUAAUAGUGCUGACGCAGAAAAGAAAACAUAGGAAUACAGAAACUUGAAGAGAGAGAAAGCCAGGGACAACCAGUGAAGAGAACAACAGAAGGAAAGGAAGGACGUGGGUUAGGGUUUUACCUCUAUUGCCGGCGGGGGAGAGAAGAUGAAAGCAGAGGAAGGGGGAGACAGAGAGAAACCUGCCGUCCCUUCUUUCUUCCUCUCGCAACAAGACUGAGAGCGUGUUUAUUUUUUUAGAAAAUAUGUUUCCACCGCCCGGAGGGGUGGAAACAUUUUUCCAGAAAUUUUUUUUUGCCCGUUGAGGCACGCUUGUUGCUCGCGUCUCCCUCCCAACGUUUCGUUUUCGUGCAUCGGCUGCUGCAGCGUUUUCCUCCUUCCCCCAUUCCUUGUCCCCUCCCCAUCACAGAGACAGUCUCUCCUCCGCUGGAUGGUCGUCAUCCUCCAGCCGCCCGCCGGUGAGCCCUCUUCGGCUCUUAUCUCUCACUCUCUCUUUCUCUCACACUCUCAGUCUUGUUGCGAGAGGAAGAAAGAAGGGACGGCAGGAUUCUGGAGUAGCAAGAGAGGGUUUCUCUCUGUCUCCCCCUUCCUCUUCUUUCCUCUUCUCUUCCCCGUACGUCUCCUCCGACUGCAAUAGAGGUAAAACCCUAACCCGCAUCCUUCCUUUCCUUUGUUCUCUCCCUUUCCUUCUGUUGUUCUCUUCACUGGUUGUCCCUGGCUUUCUCUCUCUUCAAGUUUCUGUAUUCCUAUGUUUUCUUUUCUGCGUCAGCAUUAUUAUCGGGUCUGAUUCAUGCCAUUUUCAUCUGAGAUGAACUACAAGAGUGUUACCCUUAAAAGGAAGCGCCCAAAUCUCGCUUUGUCUACGUAGUGUUCUUUCCUUUUCCCCAGUUUCAUUUUUCAUUGGUGUCGAUUUAUGGGAUGCAUGUGCCGUCCAGCCUGUGAUCUUGAAAUGGGUUUCUUGCUCGUACAAUGUUGAAGUGGACAUUAACAUGGGUACAAGGGUGGAAAUUGUUGGCCCAAUGGAGCUGGAAAAUCAACUUUGCUGAACCUACUAGCAGUGAUCUGCAACCUACAGAAGGAGAAGUUAGGAGAAGCCAGCAGAUAUUCUCAACAUCUUGUUAAUCUGUUGACCAUGGAAGAGAACCCUGUCCAGUAUCUUCUGAGGCUGCAUCUCAGGAAGGGUUUAGCAAGCAGGAGGCUUCAUUUUUAUUUCCUUUCUAUUAAAUUAUGCAUGUUUGGUUAUUCUGUAAUAUUAGUCGAGUAUAAUUCUUUUCUGUUGUAUUCUACUGUUAUUAUGGUUUUGCAAAAAUUCAUCUGUAUCGCUGUUUUUCUGCUCGAUUUGGUCAUCAAUGUGUAUGCAAGAAUGCAAGCCAUAACACUAACAGGAGUAGUCUCUUACCAGGCCCACUACUGAUGAAAAAGGAAUGGUCUGUGAUUCCAUCCUUGUAAUUGAUAUGGAGGUGCCCGUUCUUGGAUGGUCUCCAUGUUGAGAUGGGGAGAAAUUCAGGUGCCUAGUAAUAAGUGGCAGCAUGGGACUACUCUGCAUGGAUAAGAGUUUAUGCAUUGUUUCUGGAAGAGAAAUUGGAAUGCUUUCGUGUUCUCAAGUAUGACAUCGAGACAGACGGACCACUCACAGACCUAUUUGGAAGGCUGCAGUACUCGUGUUGAUACGCCAAGACACGGAUACAGUGACAUGGCUGGACAAGCCAGUCUUGAUUUUUGCAGGUUUAUUGUGGAAUUUUGUGGGUUUUUUGUGGAAUUUUGCAGACUUAUUUGGGGGAGCCAUUCAUCCUUCCCAAACACAUAAAAUGAAGAAAAAUUAAAAACUAAACAUUGAUAGGUAGAAGGCAUAUUUAAUGUCUGAACGUUUGUUGUGGGGAAAUUUAUGAUUAGAUUGCUUAAGUAAAAAACUGAAGCUUUGUUCCC